ACGAGCCUGGAAAGGUGAGUUCAAUAGAUCAUCUGUGAAGAUGGCCAAGUUUGAGAGAGGAAAAUCUGGACAGGAGAGAAAGCAUGUGUCAAAGGAGCCCAGAACGUUCCGAGAAAGGAAGUCUGCAUCCUGAUGAAUCCAAUAACUUUGGCUGGUGUUGCUUCUAAGCUGCCUGGACCAGAAAGAAGCAGCCGCUUUCCACUGAGAGCCAGAAGCCCAAAUCCGAACUGUUGUCGUGAGGUCACAAGGGUGAUCUCAUAUACGGUGCCAUCUAUUCCAUCUCAGGCCAUUCCUGUGCAGCUGCUUCGAGCUAAAACUCCUCCACGCUCCACUUCUGAUUUUCCAGGGUUUCCCUGUCUGUCAGUUUCAGCCUGCCCCCUCCUGUUAUUUUUAGAUUUGAUUUUAGUCCUUAUAAAGGGCCAGGGGUGAGGAUAGGGAGAAAAUUUUUUUCAUUUUAAUUAAAAGCAGAUGACAAAGACAACUCAGUCAUGGAAAAUAACAGGAGUCACACUGUCUCUGGCUCCCAUUCGCGUAUUUCCUCCAUCAGCUGCAAGCGAGCAGAGAAGCAACAACGCUAAUUGAGUCUCCUCUGACUUUUCCAGAAGACACACAUGAUCUAAGCAGAUCUCACCCGAGAUUCCGUUAGAGAGCUGCACGUGCUCUCCUUCCCUUUCCAUUCCCCCUCACAGAGUGAUUGCAUUUUAGAGCUGGCAGGCAGCUUCUGUGACUAUCUUCAUAUUACCAGGAGGAGCCCAGGGCCAAGCGAGGUCAAGGGAGGUGCCCGAAAAGGUCCAGCCUACUGAGGUCUCUCCAUUCCCACCUUCCAAGCGCUGAGCCUUGUCGAAUCCAUGUUUUUCAGCUGCCCAAAGAGUCAAAAUAGAGCAAGAGCUCCUUGAAGUGAGGGGCCCCAGCCUUGUGUGUUCUGUCCCUCAGUUCUCAGGACCUGCACAGGCAGAUGAAUGUGCACAGCGAAGCCUUGGCCUUUCACUCCUUCUUCCACACACUGCUGUUGCUGUUCUCCAACCUUCCGAUGAAUGUUUGUUUUUUCUCUCUCUGGACCAAUUUAGCCUUGUGCAUACUCUAUGAGCUUGGAUGUCUGCUUGCCUAUUAACUCAAAGACAGUUUAAUUCCAGAUUUUCUUCCAAGACUUCAUUUAGAUUCAG